rnacentral:rRNA from 1 species
UACGGAGGGUGCUAGCGUUGUUCGGAAUCACUGGGCGUAAAGGGCGUGUAGGCGGUCUGUUAAGUCUGAUGUGAAAUCCCCUCGCUCAACGAGGGAACUGCGUCGGAUACUGGCAGACUUGAGUACCGGAGAGGAAGGUGGAAUUCCUGGUGUAGCGGUGAAAUGCGCAGAUAUCUGGAGGAACACCGGUGGCGAAGGCGGCAUCCUGGACCAACACUGACGCUGAGGAGCGAAAGCCAGGGGAGCAAACGGG